ACAAUUAGAAAUGAUUGCUAAUACCGGAUGACGUCGGAGAACCGCAUGGUUCACUGACGAAAGGAAAUCCGGUUUGGGAGGGUCUCGCGACCUAUCAGCUUGUUGGCGGGGUAAUGGCCCACCAAGGCGUCGACGGGUAGCUGGUCUGAGAGGAUGAUCAGCCACACUGGGACUGAGACACGGCCCAGACUCCUACGGGAGGCAGCAGUGGGGAAUCUUGCGCAAUGGGCGAAAGCCUGACGCAGCAACGCCGCGUGCAGGAUGAAGGCCUUCGGGCUGUAAACCGCUUUCAGCAGGAACGAAAAUGACGGUACCUGCAGAAGAAGGAGCGGCCAACUACGUGCCAGCAGCCGCGGUGACACGUAGGCUCCAAGCGUUGUCCGGAUUUAUUGGGCGUAAAGAGCUCGUAGGCGGUUUAGUAAGUCGGGUGUGAAAACUCUGGGCUUAACCCAGAGACGCCAUCCGAUACUGCUGUGACUUGAGUUCAGGAGGAGAGCGGGGAAUUCCUAGUGUAGCGGUGAAAUGCGCAGAUAUUAGGAGGAACACCGGUGGCGAAGGCGCCGCUCUGGACUGAAACUGACGCUGAGGAGCGAAAGCAUGGGUAGCAAACAGGAUUAGAUACCCUGGUAGUCCAUGCCGUAAACGGUGGGCACUAGGUGUGGGUUUCAACUAACGAAAUCCGCGCCGUCGCUAACGCAUUAAGUGCCCCGCCUGGGGAGUACGGUCGCAAGACUAAAACUCAAAGGAAUUGACGG
rnacentral:rRNA from 1 species